rnacentral:rRNA from 1 species
GAUGAACGCUGGCGGCGUGCCUAAUACAUGCAAGUCGAGCGAACGGACGAGAAGCUUGCUUCUCUGAUGUUAGCGGCGGACGGGUGAGUAACACGUGGAUAACCUACCUAUAAGACUGGGAUAACUUCGGGAAACCGGAGCUAAUACCGGAUAAUAUUUUGAACCGCAUGGUUCAAAAGUGAAAGACGGUCUUGCUGUCACUUAUAGAUGGAUCCGCGCUGCAUUAGCUAGUUGGUAAGGUAACGGCUUACCAAGGCAACGAUGCAUAGCCGACCUGAGAGGGUGAUCGGCCACCCUGGAAAUGAGACGCGGUCCCAAAUCCUAAGGGAGGCAGGAGUAGGGAAUCUUCCGCAAUGGGCGGAAGGCUGACGGAGCAACGGCGCGUGAGUGAUGAAGGUCUUCGGAUCGUAAAACUCUGUUAUUAGGGAAGAACAUAUGUGUAAGUAACUGUGCACAUCUUGACGGUACCUAAUCAGAAAGCCACGGCUAACUACGUG